UGGCAUAAGCUAGCUUGACUGCGAGCGUGACGGCGCGAGCAGGUGCGAAAGCAGGUCAUAGUGAUCCGGUGGUUCUGAAUGGAAGGGCCAUCGCUCAACGGAUAAAAGGUACUCCGGGGAUAACAGGCUGAUACCGCCCAAGAGUUCAUAUCGACGGCGGUGUUUGGCACCUCGAUGUCGGCUCAUCACAUCCUGGGGCUGAAGUAGGUCCCAAGGGUAUGGCUGUUCGCCAUUUAAAGUGGUACGCGAGCUGGGUUUAGAACGUCGUGAGACAGUUCGGUCCCUAUCUGCCGUGGGCGCUGGAGAAUUGAGGGGGGCUGCUCCUAGUACGAGAGGACCGGAGUGGACGCAUCACUGGUGUUCGGGUUGUCAUGCCAAUGGCACUGCCCGGUAGCUAAAUGCGGAAGAGAUAAGUGCUGAAAGCAUCUAAGCACGAAACUUGCCCCGAGAUGAGUUCUCCCUGAGACUU
rnacentral:rRNA from 1 species